rnacentral:lncRNA from 1 species
CCCGCUUUUGAGACUUGCUUGAGGAGAGACGGAGUCCUGGGACUACAGGCGCGCGCCCCAAUGCCCAGCUAACUUUUGUAUUUUUAAUAGAGACGGGGUUUCUCCGUGUUGGUCAGCCUGGUCUCGAACUCCUGCCCUCACAUGAUCUGCCCGCCUCUGCCUCCCAAAGUAUUGGGUUUACAGGCGUGAGCCACCGCGCCCGGUGUGUAUUACAAAUUCUGAGAACACGAAGAUAAUGGGGCCAGCUUGGUGGCGCGAACCUGUAGCCUCAGCUACUGUCAAGACUGAGACAGGAGGAUCUCCUGAGCCCAGGAGGUCGAGGCUGCAGUGAGUCAUUAUCGCACCACUGCACUCCAGCUUGGGAGACAGAAUAUACCCUGUCUAAAAAAUAAAAAAAAAAAAAGGUUAAAAUUUGGAGGGUAACUCCCAGCUAGAAAGGAAGAAAAGCUCUAAAGUGGAAUCGCCUUCCCCCGGAAGCUGUUGUAAACAUUAAAGGAUGUAUGUGAGU